UAACAAGGUUUCCGUAGGUGAACCUGCGGAAGGAUCAUUACUGAGUGAGGGUCCCUCGGGGCCCAACCUCCCACCCGUGUAUACCGUACCUUGUUGCUUCGGCGGGCCCGCCGCGCAAGCGGCCGCCGGGGGGGCGUCAAACCCCCCUCCCUAGGCGAGCGCCCGCCGGAGACACCAACGUGAACACUGUCUGAAGUUUUGUUGUCUGAGUUCGAUUGUAUCGCAAUCAGUUAAAACUUUCAACAAUGGAUCUCUUGGUUCCGGCAUCGAUGAAGAACGCAGCGAAAUGCGAUAAUUAAUGUGAAUUGCAGAAUUCAGUGAAUCAUCGAGUCUUUGAACGCACAUUGCACCCCCUGGUAUUCCGGGGGGUAUGCCUGUCCGAGCGUCAUUGCUGCCCUCAAGCACGGCUUGUGUGUUGGGUCGUCGUCCCCCCCGGGGACGGGCCCGAAAGGCAGCGGCGGCACCGCGUCCGGUCCUCGAGCGUAUGGGGCUUUGUCACCCGCUCUUGUAGGCCCGGCCGGCGCUGGCCGACGCUGAAAAGCAACCAACUAUUUCUCCAGGUUGACCUCGGAUCAGGUAGGGAUA
rnacentral:rRNA from 1 species